rnacentral:rRNA from 1 species
GACGAACGCUGGCGGCGUGCCUAAUACAUGCAAGUAGAACGCUGAAGAGAGGAGCUUGCUCUUCUUGGAUGAGUUGCGAACGGGUGAGUAACGCGUAGGUAACCUGCCUUGUAGCGGGGGAUAACUAUUGGAAACGAUAGCUAAUACCGCAUAACAAUGGGUGACACAUGUCAUUUAUUUGAAAGGGGCAAUUGCUCCACUACAAGAUGGACCUGCGUUGUAUUAGCUAGUAGGUGAGGUAACGGCUCACCUAGGCGACGAUACAUAGCCGACCUGAGAGGGUGAUCGGCCACACUGGGACUGAGACACGGCCCAGACUCCUACGGGAGGCAGCAGUAGGGAAUCUUCGGCAAUGGGGGCAACCCUGACCGAGCAACGCCGCGUGAGUGAAGAAGGUUUUCGGAUCGUAAAGCUCUGUUGUAAGUCAAGAACGAGUGUGAGAGUGG